UACGUAGGGUGCGAGCGUUGUCCGGAAUUAUUGGGCGUAAGAGCUCGUAGGCGGUCUGUCGCGUCUGCUGUGAAAUCCCGAGGCUCAACCUCGGGCUUGCAGUGGGUACGGGCAGACUAGAGUGCGGUAGGGGAGAUUGGAAUUCCUGGUGUAGCGGUGGAAUGCGCAGAUAUCAGGAGGAACACCAAUGGCGAAGGCAGAUCUCUGGGCCGUAACUGACGCUGAGACGCGAAAGCGUGGGGAGCGAACAGG
rnacentral:rRNA from 1 species